rnacentral:rRNA from 1 species
CGCAAUGGGCGAAAGCCUGACGGAGCGACACCGCGUGGAGGAUGAAGUUUUUCGGAAUGUAAACUCCUUUCGACAGGGACGAAAAAAAUGACGGUACCUGUAUAAGAAGCAUCGGCUAACUACGUGCCAGCAGCCGCGGUAAUACGUAGGAUGCAAGCGUUGUUCGGAAUUACUGGGCGUAAAGAGUACGUAGGCGGUUUACUAAGUCUGUUAUUAAAGACCGAAGCUCAACUUCGGGAAUGUAAUGGAAACUGGUAGACUAGAGGUCAGAAGGGGAAAUUGGAAUUCUUAGUGUAGCGGUGAAAUGCGUAGAUAUUAGGAAGAACACCAGUGGCGAAAGCGGAUUUCUGGUCUGAAACUUUCGCUCAGGUACGAAGGCGU